rnacentral:piRNA from 1 species
UNUGUAUCAUGAAGCCUGGUGAUCUUUAGU